rnacentral:rRNA from 1 species
GACGAACGCUGGCGGCGUGCCUAAUACAUGCAAGUCGAACGCAGUUGCGACGGGUGAGUAACACGUGGGUAACCUCCCAUCAGAGGGGAUACCACUUGUAAACAGAUGCUAAAACGAUAUUGAUUGAUGGACCGGCGGUGCAUUAGCUAGUUGGUGAGGUAACGGCUCACCAAGGCCACGAUGCAUAGCCGACUUGAGAGGGUGAUCGGCCACAUUGGGACUGAGACACGGCCCAGACUCCUACGGGAGGCAGCAGUAGGGAAUCGUCGGCAAUGGACGAAAGUCUGACCGAGCAACGCCGCGUGAGUGAAGAAGGUUUUCGGAUCGUAAAACUCUGUUGUUAGAGAAGCGGUAUCUAACCAGAAAGCCACGGCUAACUACGUGCCAGCAGCCGCGGUAAUUC